AGUGAACGCUGGCGGUAGGCCUAACACAUGCAAGUCGAACGGCAGCACAGUAAGAGCUUGCUCUUACGGGUGGCGAGUGACGGACGGGUGAGGAAUACAUCGGAAUCUACUUUUUCGUGGGGGAUAACGUAGGGAAACUGACGCUAAUACCUCAUACGUCCUACGGGUAAAAGCAGGGUUUCUUCGGACAUUGCGCGAAUUAAUGAGCCGAUGUCGGAUUAGCUAGUUGGGGGGGUAAAGGCCCACCAAGGCGACGAUCCUUAGCUGGUCUGACAGGAUGAUCGGCCAAACUGGAACGGGAACAGGGCCCAAACUCCUCGGGGAGCAACAGGAGGGGAAUAUUGGACAAUGGGGGCAAGCCUGAUCCAGCCAUACCGCGUGGGUGAAGAAGGCUUCCGGGUUGAAAAGCCCUUUUGUUGGGAAAGAAAAGCAGCAGGUUAAUACCCCGCUGUUCUGACGGUACCCAAAGAAUAAGCAACGGCUAACUUCGUG
rnacentral:rRNA from 1 species